AGAACGCUGAAGACUUUAGCUUGCUAAAGUUGGAAGAGUUGCGAACGGGUGAGUAACGCGUAGGUAACCUGCCUACUAGCGGGGGAUAACUAUUGGAAACGAUAGCUAAUACCGCAUAACAGCAUUUAACCCAUGUUAGAUGCUUGAAAGGAGCAAUUGCUUCACUAGUAGAUGGACCUGCGUUGUAUUAGCUAGUUGGUGAGGUAACGGCUCACCAAGGCGACGAUACAUAGCCGACCUGAGAGGGUGAUCGGCCACACUGGGACUGAGACACGGCCCAGACUCCUACGGGAGGCAGCAGUAGGGAAUCUUCGGCAAUGGGGGCAACCCUGACCGAGCAACGCCGCGUGAGUGAAGAAGGUUUUCGGAUCGUAAAGCUCUGUUGUAAGAGAAGAACGUGUGUGAGAGUGGAAAGUUCACACAGUGACGGUAACUUACCAGAAAGGGACGGCUAACUACGUGCCAGCAGCCGCGGUAAUACGUAGGUCCCGAGCGUUGUCCGGAUUUAUUGGGCGUAAAGCGAGCGCAGGCGGUUUAAUAAGUCUGAAGUUAAAGGCAGUGGCUUAACCAUUGUUCGCUUUGGAAACUGUUAGACUUGAGUGCAGAAGGGGAGAGUGGAAUUCCAUGUGUAGCGGUGAAAUGCGUAGAUAUAUGGAGGAA
rnacentral:rRNA from 1 species